rnacentral:rRNA from 1 species
UACAGAGGUCUCAAGCGUUGUUCGGAUUCAUUGGGCGUAAAGGGUGCGUAGGUGGCGCUGUAAGUCGGGUGUGAAAUUUCGGAGCUUAACUCCGAAACUGCAUUCGAUACUGCGGUGCUUGAGGACUGGAGAGGAGACUGGAAUUCAUGGUGUAGCAGUGAAAUGCGUAGAGAUCAUGAGGAAGACCAGUGGCGAAGGCGGGUCUCUGGACAGUUCCUGACACUGAGGCACGAGGGCCAGGGGAGCAAACGGG